AGUUCAUAAGAACGUGAAAUCCGCUCGGUGUAAACGGACAGAGCUCGCGAAUCCCCGCCAGGCGAAUUCACGGUCGGUCUAACCGCCGGCCCGGAUCUUUCGCUCGGUUAGCGGACGUCGCGACCCGUUGGGCGCCGGCCGAAUGGCCCGGGUGACGUUCGUCGCGUCGGUCGCGUUUCGGCGUGACCGUUCGCGCCGAGCCCCGGUGCUCAUGGUCGGCUCGCCCGACGGCAAGAACCGUCGACGCGGCCCCGUCGCAGGCGAGGUCCCGUCGGUCGGCGACGUGUUUCGAGCUACUUUCCGACCCGUCUUGAAACACGGACCAAGGAGUCUAACGUGUGCGCGAGUCAACGGUGAUCUUACGAAAAACCACGUUUGGCGCAAUGAAAGUGAACCGUUUACGGUGCGGACGAUGGCCUAGCGACCGAACCCACCGGCGUUCAAAGUCGCGCUGGUCCGCAGUCCGGGGGCGUCUCCGCCAAGUCGGCUUCGGCCGGCUGGGGGCGCACCCUUAGCGCACACGUUGGUACCCGAAAGAUGGUGAACUAUGCCUGGCCAGGAUGAAGUCAGGGGAAACCCUGAUGGAGGUCCGCAGCGAUUCUGACGUGCAAAUCGAUCGUCUGAGCUGGGUAUAGGGGCGAAAGACUAAUCGAACCAUCUAGUAGCUGGUUCCAUCCGAAGUUUCCCUCAGGAUAGCUGGCGCCGAUGUGUCCCGCCCGUUCGCGGGCGUACGGACGCCGGUGGGACUCCGCGCUGUACGGCGCGGUAACAACACGCUCGUAACACGGAGGAUGUCUCAUACGGUAAAGCGAAUGAUUAGAGGACAUUGGGGCCGAAACGACCUCAACCUAUUCUCAAACUAUAAAUGAGUGAGAUCGCCGGCUUUACCUGGUACACCGCGUGAACCGCGUGCGAAGCCGGCGACGGAACCCUAGGCGCUUAGUGGGCCAUUUUUGGUAAGCAGAACUGGCGCUGCGGGAUGAACCGAACGCCGAGUUAAGGCGCCGAAAUCGACGCGUAUUCAGAGACCAUGAAAGGCGUUGGUUGCUGAU
rnacentral:ncRNA from 1 species